ensembl:lncRNA
CCAAAGUACAGAAUAACAAACACAUUUCAUUCCUGUCUCUCACUCUAAAGUUUCUAUUCCAUGGGAGUACUCCUAUAUUAAGUACUGACUAUCUGUGACUGAAGAUGUUAAAAUAUGUCAAAAAACCAAAACUGUCAGGCUGACGCUGAGAGUUAGAAUGGGUUUUCUGGGAUGAGUGCAGAAAACACCACUCAUUGCACACAGAAAGCAACAAGAAAAACUGGAAAAUCAUGUGCCACUUUCUGCUUACCUCACUACCUCUUUCAGUUUCUUUUAAUCAUUGGACAAGGCAGGUUGGCCUGGGUCUAGAAAACACCAAAAAAAUUUGCCUCCCCAGAGUGUCCACUGCAUUCCAAACUUUGUCUCAAACUGCUGGAUGAAGAAGAAAUUGAGGACACUCCCAAGGCAGGAGAAAGACGGAGUCAAUCCAAAUGCCUCCUUCCCCUUAAACCAGGUAAUAUGGUAAUGAUUCUGCACAACUUUGAAAAGAUAAAAAUCUUUUCUUGAACAGACAGGCUUGACCAAGAGCAUGGCACAGAAGCAACAGCUCUCUCAAGUUGAAGAGCUCAGGCUGGGAGAUGCUCUACACAUACCAAGAGGAGGCAUGUGCCAGAGGAGGAGGAGGUAUGGCGAGUCCUUGAAGUGUAAGCCUAAAGCAAAGAUGGAUGAUCCCAGCAUCAUGAACAAAGAGAAAACAAAAACACUGACUAGGAAGAAACAGAAAAAACACAAACCUCAACAGACAUGCUGAAGUCAAAACAAAGGCAUUCUGUGUCAAAAAGCUAAAGAAUGUAAGAAACAACCACUUGUGGAGGAAGGUGAGCCUACCAAGGUUUUCCUUUGGAGGAAUGUUCCCUGAGGGAGCUGUGAUAAGCUUAUCCCAACCCUCUCCUAAGGAGAGAUACCCCUUAGAUGGGACCAUCCCCUCUUCUCUUGGUGAGCUAUCCUACCAUGCUUUGGUGACUAUGCUGAUCCUUUGUAACCCAUUGAUUUCCUCCCUGGUGCAACCCUGGCCUUCUGCCAUGUGAUAGAUUGGCAUUUAAGAAAAAAAAGAGAAACACUUAAAGAAGUUAAAACUGCUGGAGGCUGGUGAGAGUUUUUCUCCCAGCCAACAACUGGCCAUUUUUAAGAACUGACAGCAGUUUUGACUGUUGAAAAGUGAGAUCAACUUGUGAACACCAUCUUAAGACUUAAGCUUGGGAAUUUCUUUGUCUUUUUGUUUUCUGGCUGUGAAAGGUAACAGAGCUCCAGCUGGUCUCUCAUUCCCCUGCCCAGCCCAUGUGGCCUGGGCUGGGCUGGGCUGGGCCUGCCGCGGCUCCCGGCCGGGAGAUGGGGCCUGCAGGGCUUGCCCCGGGCUCUGGCCGGGCCAGGCCGGUCCCUGGCUCGGCUGCAGUUUUUGCUGGGACUGAAUUCACCACAGACUGCUGAGUAAAGAAAGAAAAAGCUCUUGACCUGCGGUGGGCUGAGACAGUGACCACACUCACCAGAGCAGCCAUGAAGAAUCUUCCAUCACAGACAGCUCCAGCUGCUGCACCAGCAGAGAUCACAGAACCAUCUACAAGGCCUGGGCAAAAUUUUAACCUUUUCAUUACCCAGAUGAGACUUGCAGAUUAAUCUUUUUUUCCAGAGAGAGAAAGAGAGAGUAAUCAACAUGUAAAGAGACUUUAUAAGCUAUCAGAGACGGUAAAGAAAGGAAUUAAGCUUUAAAAGAAGUAGAGAAUAAGAAGAUGCUUUAAUAAACUGAAAUAUUUCUCUGUUAAAGCUAUAGAG